GCCUCUGUGGCCAAGUGGUAAGGCGUCUGUCUCGUAAACAGAAGAUUCGUCGGUUCAAUCCCGACUUGAGGCA
rfam:Nadsonia fulvescens var. elongata DSM 6958 unplaced genomic scaffold NADFTscaffold_3, whole genome shotgun sequence.